AUAACUUUUAUUAUUAUUGAAUUUCUCAGCUCAAACCACAAGGCAAGUUCGUCCCUUUCGCCUUGUAAUCUCAUUUCGUUCCGCUCAAUGGCAGUUACGGACCACUCUCCCAUCGGAGACAAGAAGAAGAGGCCGAGAAAUAGAAGCUCAGCAGUAUCUCAGACCACACUUCAAUCCCUGGAGCACGACAUCCUCUGCUUCAUCUUCUUCUUCCUCGACCUCUUCGACCUUGUCCGAUGCUCUGUCGUCUGCAAAUCCUGGAAUGCGAUUAUGUGAGUGUAAAGUUGCUGUAAGUGUUUCCGAUAUGCAUAGCAGUUAGGAGGAAUCAUUGAAAUUAUGUUUGGAGGAGGUUGCCACGGAACGUCAUAGGAUAGGUUUGGAAGAGGGGUGAUAUUGAUUUUGAUCAGUUGAGAGGCCAUUCUUCUGGAUUAUUUCUGAAAGAUCAUGUCAUUGAUGUGCAAAAGUUGAUAAACUCUGGGUGGCACAAGAUUUUGUCAACUCUUCUGACCAAGAUGAAUGUCUAGAAGAUAUUGGUUAGGUUAUUUUGUACAUUUACUUGGGAGAUCCUUUUUUCAAGAGGUUGAAAAGAUGAAUUGGGCACCAUAAAGAAGUGUAAAAUGCAUGAUCUUGCAAUUUCAGUGGCAGGGGAACAUAGCAUCAUAAUAGAAAAAUAUCCAAAGAAUGAAAAGUUUCAUCAAAAGAUUCGUCGUAUAUCUUUUGAUAUUAAACCUAUGUGCAAGUCAUCAGAAUUUAUAAUGUCCUUUCUUGAAGGAAAGGAGCUGGUACACACCUUUCUCGAUCUAGAAGAACGAAUAGGCAGUGUUAGCGAAAAGAGUUGUGAUGCAAUUUUAUCCAACUUAAAAGUGUAUACGGGUUUUGGAUUGGAGAAUUUGAGAAUGGCGACAUUACCAAAUAGUUUUGAUAAAGUAAAGCACUUGAGAUAUCUUGAUCUUUCAUGUAAUAACAUGGUGGGGCUACCAAGUUCUUAACAAGACUGUAAAAUUUGCAAACACUGAUUCUCACUAGUUGUUCAUUGCUAAUGAGCUUGCCUCAAAAUUUGAAGUAUAUGAUAAACUUAAGACAUCUUUCGGCAAAUAAUGGAUGCAAUAGAUUGAAUCAUAUGCCUGUUGGAAUUGGUGGGUUAACUACUCUUAUCACAUUAGAUCAUUUUCUUAUAGCAGACAUCAAUUCUGAGUUGAAAGAUGCUGCAGGACUUGCUGAACUGUACUGCCUUAAUAAUUUGGGACGAAAAUUAUUGACUGAGAUGUUGAGCCCUAAUUUGAAGGGAGAUGCUGCAAAAUCAGAGGCUGCAAUUUUAAAGGAAAAGUAACAUCUUCAAUCACUACAUUAGAGAUAAUGCUAGAGUUGAUAUUCUGCCUCUCACCUCCGCUCAGUCUUGAUAUUAAGUAUUGUUGCAAACUAGUGAAUUUAUCAAAGGAGAUAGCCAACCUCUCAUCAUUGUUGCAGAAACUCUACAUUGGAGACUGCCCCAAGUUGACAUCAUUGCCAAAGGUAUUAGGCAACCUCUCAGCACUUGAUAGUCUAGAUAUCAUCUGAUGCCCCUAUUUAGUGACACUUCCACAAGAGAUGGCCAACCUCUUGGCACUUAAAAAUAUUCAUAUUGGAUGGUGUAAUAAGUUGGAAUCACUGCCAGAAGGGAUGCAUGGUCUCACAUCUUUAGAAGAAUAACAGAUCAAUAAAUGCCCCAGCUUAGAGCCAUUGCUGCGAGGGAUAAGCAAUCUCUCAUCUCUUUGAUGUCUUUCUAUCAAGGCAUGUUGUAAGUUGGUGUCACUGCCACAAGAGAUGCAUGUUCUCACAUCUUUAAACCAUCUGUCAAUGAAGAAUGUUCUAAUUUAGAACCAUUUUUAGAAGGAAUAAGCAGUCUCUCAUCACUUAAAAAUCUUACUCUUGCCAGAUGCGGUAAGUUGGAAACACUGCCACAAGGGCUGCAUAGUCUCUCCUCUUUGGAUCAUCUAUUCAUAGCUGAAUGUCCCAUUUAGAAUCAUUGUCUGAAGGAAUAGUCAAUCUCUCAUCGCUUACGACUCUUGUUAUUGAAAAAUGCCACAAGUUGGCAUCACUGCCAGAGGAGAUGCAUGGUCUCAACUUUUUAGGCUGACUAUACAUUUUAGACUGUCCCAAUUUAGAUUCAUUGCUGAAAGAGAUAAGCCAACUCUUAGCACUCAAAAGUUUUGACUUUUGAAAGAUGUUAUAUAGUGGCAACACUACCACAAGAGCUGUAUUCUCUCACUUCUUUAGAAGAUCUAUGCAUUACAGAAUGCCCUCUCCUAUCACAAACAAUUGAGGAAGAUAGAUACGGUCUCCGAGCUUAGCUUGCUUGCAUCCGCGAGCUUAUCUAGAUGGGAAAUAUUCGUGCCUUGUAUUGUUUAGGUCCGAUUUCUGUAUAUACAUACAUACAUACAUAUAUAUAUAUAUAUGAAAAUUUGUACCUCAAACAACAUAUUGCAUAAGAGAGUGUUUAAGGUAACAUGAACAUGUUAUCUUAUGUAUGUAGACGUCUACUCCCUAGAAAAACUAUAUAUAUAUAUAUAUAUAUAUAUGUACAAAAAUGCUACUAUGUGAAUGUCGUUUACCAAUUGGUAAAUGCUACUAUGAAAAAGUCAAUUAUCAUUUGGUGGAAGACAACCAUAUACAGUCAUCAGAACAUAUGAAUAUGCAGAUCUAAUAGUUGUCACCAACCAUGUGAUGGGGAAGUCCUACGGUAACAGUUGUGUGAAUAUAUAUAUAUAUAUAUAUAGAUAUU